AUGAUCGAAGGAGAUAUAGUAGCAUCAUUGAGCGAUAUCAUGAAUGAGAUGGGUCGAUUGAAUGUAAAUUCGAAGCAGAGAUGUGAAGCAAGGUUGAAGCGAAGAGGUGAGAUUGUUUGCGGCGGUUGGAUGUUUGGUGGGAUCAUAGAAGAAGAUGGUUACAGUGGAAGCUGCGGCGCAAGUGUGAGAGUAGGAGAUGAACGUAGAUAUAGAAGACGAUAUGAGAGAUAA